CACGUAGGGCGCAAGCGUUGUCCGGAAUUAUUGGGCGUAAAGAGCUCGUAGGUGGUUUGUUACGUCUGCUGUGAAAACCUAGGGCUUAACCCUGGGCUUGCAGUGGAUACGGGCAGACUAGAGGUAGGUAGGGGAGAAUGGAAUUCCUGGUGUAGCGGUGAAAUGCGCAGAUAUCAGGAGGAACACCGGUGGCGAAGGCGGCGACCUGGUCCAUUACUGACGCUGAGGCGCGACAGCGUGGGGAGCAAACAGG
rnacentral:rRNA from 1 species